CCUAGGAAUCUGCCUGGUAGUGGGGGACGAACGUUUCGAAAGGAACGCUAAUACCGCAUACGUCCUACGGGAGAAAGCAGGGGACCUUCGGGCCUUGCGCUAUCAGAUGAGCCUAGGUCGGAUUAGCUAGUUGGUGAGGUAAUGGCUCACCAAGGCGACGAUCCGUAACUGGUCUGAGAGGAUGAUCAGUCACACUGGAACUGAGACACGGUCCAGACUCCUACGGGAGGCAGCAGAC
rnacentral:rRNA from 1 species